rnacentral:rRNA from 1 species
UUAAGCGACUAAGCGUACACGGUGGAUGCCCUGGCAGUCAGAGGCGAUGAAGGACGUGCUAAUCUGCGAUAAGCGUCGGUAAGGUGAUAUGAACCGUUAUAACCGGCGAUUUCCGAAUGGGGAAACCCAGUGUGUUUCGACACACUAUCAUUAACUGAAUCCAUAGGUUAAUGAGGCGAACCGGGGGAACUGAAACAUCUAAGUACCCCGAGGAAAAGAAAUCAACCGAGAUUCCCCCAGUAGCGGCGAGCGAACGGGGAGCAGCCCAGAGCCUGAAUCAGUGUGUGUGUUAGUGGAAGCGUCUGGAAAGGCGCGCGAUACAGGGUGACAGCCCCGUACACAAAAAUGCACAUGCUGUGAGCUCGAUGAGUAGGGCGGGACACGUGGUAUCCUGUCUGAAUAUGGGGGGACCAUCCUCCAAGGCUAAAUACUCCUGACUGACCGAUAGUGAACCAGUACCGUGAGGGAAAGGCGAAAAGAACCCCGGCGAGGGGAGUGAAAAAGAACCUGAAACCGUGUACGUACAAGCAGUGGGAGCACGCUUAGGCGUGUGACUGCGUACCUUUUGUAUAAUGGGUCAGCGACUUAUAUUCUGUAGCAAGGUUAACCGAAUAGGGGAGCCGAAGGGAAACCGAGUCUUAACUGGGCGUUAAGUUGCAGGGUAUAGACCCGAAACCCGGUGAUCUAGCCAUGGGCAGGUUGAAGGUUGGGUAACACUAACUGGAGGACCGAACCGACUAAUGUUGAAAAAUUAGCGGAUGACUUGUGGCUGGGGGUGAAAGGCCAAUCAAACCGGGAGAUAGCUGGUUCUCCCCGAAAGCUAUUUAGGUAGCGCCUCGUGAAUUCAUCUCCGGGGGUAGAGCACUGUUUCGGCAAGGGGGUCAUCCCGACUUACCAACCCGAUGCAAACUGCGAAUACCGGAGAAUGUUAUCACGGGAGACACACGGCGGGUGCUAACGUCCGUCGUGAAGAGGGAAACAACCCAGACCGCCAGCUAAGGUCCCAAAGUCAUGGUUAAGUGGGAAACGAUGUGGGAAGGCCCAGACAGCCAGGAUGUUGGCUUAGAAGCAGCCAUCAUUUAAAGAAAGCGUAAUAGCUCACUGGUCGAGUCGGCCUGCGCGGAAGAUGUAACGGGGCUAAACCAUGCACCGAAGCUGCGGCAGCGACGCUGAUGCGUUGUUGGGUAGGGGAGCGUUCUGUAAGCCUGCGAAGGUGUNACUAUGUGUUGUUGGGUAGGGGAGCGUUCUGUAAGCCUGUGAAGGUGUGCUGUGAGGCAUGCUGGAGGUAUCAGAAGUGCGAAUGCUGACAUAAGUAACGAUAAAGCGGGUGAAAAGCCCGCUCGCCGNGCUGAUGCGUUGUUGGGUAGGGGAGCGUUCUGUAAGCCUGCGAAGGUGUGCUGUGAGGCAUGCUGGAGGUAUCAGAAGUGCGAAUGCUGACAUAAGUAACGAUAAAGCGGGUGAAAAGCCCGCUCGCCGGAAGACCAAGGGUUCCUGUCCAACGUUAAUCGGGGCAGGGUGAGUCGACCCCUAAGGCGAGGCCGAAAGGCGUAGUCGAUGGGAAACAGGUUAAUAUUCCUGUACUUGGUGUUACUGCGAAGGGGGGACGGAGAAGGCUAUGUUGGCCGGGCGACGGUUGUCCCGGUUUAAGCGUGUAGGCUGGUUUUCCAGGCAAAUCCGGAAAAUCAAGGCUGAGGCGUGAUGACGAGGCACUACGGUGCUGAAGCAACAAAUGCCCUGCUUCCAGGAAAAGCCUCUAAGCAUCAGGUAACAUCAAAUCGUACCCCAAACCGACACAGGUGGUCAGGUAGAGAAUACCAAGGCGCUUGAGAGAACUCGGGUGAAGGAACUAGGCAAAAUGGUGCCGUAACUUCGGGAGAAGGCACGCUGAUAUGUAGGUGAAGUCCCUCGCGGAUGGAGCUGAAAUCAGUCGAAGAUACCAGCUGGCUGCAACUGUUUAUUAAAAACACAGCACUGUGCAAACACGAAAGUGGACGUAUACGGUGUGACGCCUGCCCGGUGCCGGAAGGUUAAUUGAUGGGGUUAGCGCAAGCGAAGCUCUUGAUCGAAGCCCCGGUAAACGGCGGCCGUAACUAUAACGGUCCUAAGGUAGCGAAAUUCCUUGUCGGGUAAGUUCCGACCUGCACGAAUGGCGUAAUGAUGGCCAGGCUGUCUCCACCCGAGACUCAGUGAAAUUGAACUCGCUGUGAAGAUGCAGUGUACCCGCGGCAAGACGGAAAGACCCCGUGAACCUUUACUAUAGCUUGACACUGAACAUUGAGCCUUGAUGUGUAGGAUAGGUGGGAGGCUUAGAAGUGUGGACGCCAGUCUGCAUGGAGCCGACCUUGAAAUACCACCCUUUAAUGUUUGAUGUUCUAACGUUGACCCGUAAUCCGGGUUGCGGACAGUGUCUGGUGGGUAGUUUGACUGGGGCGGUCUCCUCCUAAAGAGUAACGGAGGAGCACGAAGGUUGGCUAAUCCUGGUCGGACAUCAGGAGGUUAGUGCAAUGGCAUAAGCCAGCUUGACUGCGAGCGUGACGGCGCGAGCAGGUGCGAAAGCAGGUCAUAGUGAUCCGGUGGUUCUGAAUGGAAGGGCCAUCGCUCAACGGAUAAAAGGUACUCCGGGGAUAACAGGCUGAUACCGCCCAAGAGUUCAUAUCGACGGCGGUGUUUGGCACCUCGAUGUCGGCUCAUCACAUCCUGGGGCUGAAGUAGGUCCCAAGGGUAUGGCUGUUCGCCAUUUAAAGUGGUACGCGAGCUGGGUUUAGAACGUCGUGAGACAGUUCGGUCCCUAUCUGCCGUGGGCGCUGGAGAACUGAGGGGGGCUGCUCCUAGUACGAGAGGACCGGAGUGGACGCAUCACUGGUGUUCGGGUUGUCAUGCCAAUGGCACUGCCCGGUAGCUAAAUGCGGAAGAGAUAAGUGCUGAAAGCAUCUAAGCACGAAACUUGCCCCGAGAUGAGUUCUCCCUGACCCUUUAAGGGUCCUGAAGGAACGUUGAAGACGACGACGUUGAUAGGCCGGGUGUGUAAGCGCAGCGAUGCGUUGAGCUAACCGGUACUAAUGAACCGUGAGGCUUAACCUU